AGUGAGGAAUAUUGGUCAAUGGGCGAGAGCCUGAACCAGCCAAAUCGCGUGAAGGAUGAAGGUAUUAUGUAUUGUAAACUUCUUUUGUCAGGGAAUAAAGUGCAGCACGUGUGCUGUUUUGUAAGUACCUGAAGAAUAAGGAUCGGCUAACUCCGUGCCAGCAGCCGCGGUAAUACGGAGGAUCCAAGCGUUAUCCGGAUUUAUUGGGUUUAAAGGGUGCGUAGGCGGGCCUGUAAGUCAGCGGUGAAAGUUCAUGGCUCAACCAUGAAAUUGCCGUUGAAACUACUGGCCUUGAGUGUAGAUGAGGUGGGCGGAAUUCGUAGUGUAGCGGUGAAAUGCUUAGAUAUUACGAAGAACUCCAAUUGCGUAGGCAGCUCACUAGGCUACAACUGACGCUGAGGCACGAAGGUGCGGGGAUCAAACAGGAUUAGAUACCCUGGUAGUCCGCACAGUAAACGAUGAAUACUAACUGUUUGCGAUACACAGCAAGUGGUACAGUG
rnacentral:rRNA from 1 species